rnacentral:rRNA from 1 species
GACGAACGCUGGCGGCGUGCCUAAUACAUGCAAGUCGAGCGCUGAAGGCUGGUACUUGUACCAAAUUGAGGAGCAGCGAACGGGGGAGUAACGCGUGGCAAAUCUGCCUUUUAGCGGGGGCCAACAUUUGGAAACGAAUGCUAAUACCGCAUUAAAACUUUAAACACAGGUUUUAAGCUUGAAAGGUACAAUUGCAUCACUCAAAGAGGAUCCCGCGUUGUGUUAGCUAGUUUGUUAGUUAAAGGCUCACCAAGGACAUGGUACAUGGCCGGCCUGCGAGGGUGGUCGGGCACCGUUGGACUGGGGCACGGCCCAAGCCCCUACGGGGGGCAGCAGUCGGGAAUCUUCGGCAAUGGACGAAAGUCUGACCGCGCAACGCCGCGUGAGUGGAGAAGGUUUUCGGAUCGUAAAACUCUGUUGGUAGAGAAGAACGAGGAUGAGAGUGGAAAGCUCAGCAAGUGACGGUAACUACAGAGAAAGGGACGGCUAACUACGUG